rnacentral:lncRNA from 1 species
UCUGAAGAAUACUUGUGCAUUUCUUUUGACCUUAGCUUUAAGCCAGGAGAUCGCAUUGGAGGAGGGGGGUCUGGAAGCCCCCCUGUAGCUGCCCAGGCUCUGGCCUGCUCUCUCCCUGGACCUGGCACCCCAGUGGCUGGGGCCCUCUAGGGAAUAUGAAAAGUGGAGAGGACACAGGAUUUGGACACAACCGUGGCUGUACUCUCUCACUGGCACCAUCCCUUCACAUGCCUGUCACACUGGAAACUGCUCCAUCAACUAUGGUCUCAAAACAGCAUGAAAGAACUGAUGAUUUUGCUACCAACUUAAUGGGUUUCCUGUAAGUAAACUCACUGGGACUCUUCAGAGGGAACACAGCAGUGCGCUGACCCAAGGAAAGAAACUAUGCAUAUCUCAGGGCCUAUCUCAUCUUUGCAGCGUGCUUUACAGCUUAGACCUGUUCCUUAGGGUCAUUUUCAUGACCAGUACUUUAUCUUGCUAUUUACAACAAAAAAUGAGGAAAUGGGAAACACAAAGAGUUACACGUACCUCGCUGAUCAUGGUGGUGAAUGUCUGUAAUCCCAGAGACUCAGGAGGCUGAGGCAGGAGGAUUACAAGUUCCAAGCCAGCCUUAACAAUUUAGCAAUGCCGGACUGGGGAUGUGGCUCAAGCAGUGGCGUGCUCGCCUGGCAUGCGUGCAGCCCGGGUUCGAUCCUCGGCACCACAUGCAAGCAAACAUGUUGUGUCCGCCGAAAAAACUAAAAAAUAAAUAUUGGAAUUCUCUCUCUCUCAAAAAAAAAAAAAAAAAAAAUUAGCAAUGCCCUAAGUGACUUACUGACACUCUCCUGUCUCAAUAAAAAAUAAAAAGGGUUGAAGAUGUAGCUCAGAGAUAAAGUGCCACUGGGUUCAAUCUCCCCAAUACAAAAGAAAGAGAGAGAGUUACAUGACCUAAACUUACAUAGGCAGUGAGUGAUGGAAUUACAUUUUAAAAGUUAUAGUUAGGCUGGGGUGUAGCUACAAAGCUCUAGGUGCAAUCAUAGCACUUAAAAUGCACAUAACACAGAAUUUACAAUUUUAAGC